rnacentral:rRNA from 1 species
UACGUAGGGGGCUAGCGUUGUCCGGAAUCAUUGGGCGUAAAGCGUGUGUAGGCGGGCCCGUAAGUGUCUUGUGAAAUCCCACGGCUCAACCGUGGAACUGCUGGGCAUACUGCGGGUCUUGGGCCAACUAGGGGCAGCCGGAACAAGCGGUGGAGCGGUGAAAUGCGUAGAUAUCGCUUGGAACGCCGAAGGUGAAAACAGGCUGCUGGGGUUGCGCCGACGCUGAGACACGAAAGCCAGGGGAGCAAACGGG